UAACAAAGAAAAUACACACGGCGACCGAAUUUUAUAAUUUAAAAAAUAUUUCUGAAAAUCAUUUGAAUUAAAUGAUAAAGCGGCCAUAGGAGGGUAUCUUAAAAUAUUGUAUUGGAAAAUCCAGUCUUCUAAGGCGUACAAAAAAUAUAUAAUGCCACUGUGUGUAGACUCGUUAUUUGAAUUGUUGUCAGUCGGUCAAAAAAAGCAGAAAGCUGAUCUUCCCGUUUUACAAAAGACAGUUCUCGGCUAGAUAGUAGUACAUGUACCUCUAAAAGCGCCAGAUGCGUUAAGGACCUGUAGUACCGUACGUGUAUCGGCAGUCUUCAACAUAACGACUGCUUUCGGCAUGGUUUGGUUACCCAGUACUUUCAAUUGCGGGUGUCUCUAUUGACAGCCAUAUCAACAUUUUCUCCUCUCAAGAAAAAAACCUUGAUGAACUGAGCUACAGACUCAACGCUGGACUAAAACGCAACCUACUAAGUUGUCGUUUUUUGUUUCAUCCGGCCUGUAAGUCGACACUUCGAAGUGCGGAACGAUGUCAUGCUGAGCAAAUUGCGCAAGUUACCAUGAGGUCUUGUUGUAGUUUGAGGUCGGAUAUUGAAUGGUUCGAAAACAAAUUCGCAUUUUAUUAUUAAAAAGCUAUCCGUUUGUUACCUGCCAUAUCUCAUCGAUAGCAACCUUUUACUUCAGCAGUGUAUAUAAAGGGUCUGACAUAGGCCGCAAUCCAUUGCCAGCUGUCUCAUUAUAUGCAG